rnacentral:rRNA from 1 species
UGCGUAGGCGGUUAAAUAAGUCAGAGGUGAAAGCCCGCAGCUCAACUGUGGAAUUGCCUUUGAUACUGUAUAACUUGAAUCAGGUUGAGGUUGGCGGAAUGUGACAUGUAGCGGUGAAAUGCAUAGAUAUGUCAUAGAACACCAAUUGCGAAGGCAGCUAACUAGACCUGUAUUGACGCUGAGGCACGAAAGCGUGGGGAGCGAACAGGAUUAGAUACCCUGGUAGUCC